AGGUAACAUUGUGUAUGCUCUGAAGACUGUUACCUGUCCAAAGUACAAAGGGAAACUAUUACUAUUCCAAAUGGAAUCCAUUAUAUUGCCUGGCCAGCUCACUUCAGCUCAAAUCCUUGCUGCUGUUGUUGUAUAUCUUUGGAGCACUAUCAGUGCAUGUCCUCCUGAGCCACUCCUGUUUCGUGUAGACAGCUUACAACUAGAUUGGCUAGGGCUGUGUUAUGAAUGCAUAGAAGACUGUGAGAGCAUCACCAGAUGGCUUGAGUCUGAUGGAAAAGGAACAGUGGAAUUUCUUCUCAUAAGUAAUUUCCACGGAAAUAAAUGGGAAGCACUUCUUUUGGAGCAACCUGCACAUCUACCUCUUUCCUGCCUCUCAGGAAAUGACAGAUGUGCCUCCAAAAGAUCAGGACAACUGAAAAAGGAAAAAAGACAGAAAAGGAACAUGGUGAGGUGAAAAGUCAACUGUAGUUGUAGUGUUUCCCUUUGGGUAGCCUUGACAAAUAGCUACCCAAAUAGCUUCAGCUGCAUUAUCUCAGGCAUUCUGAGUGACAUCCCAGAUCAUUCUUAUGAGUCUUCAGAAUUACUUUCCAGGAAGAGUGGUCGCUGGGGGCAGAACAAGAUGGUUUGGAGAGGG
rnacentral:lncRNA from 1 species